CCCUUCGGGGUACUCGAGCGGCGAACGGGUGAGUAACACGUGAGCAACCUGCCCUAGGCUUUGGGAUAACCCCGGGAAACCGGGGCUAAUACCGAAUAUUCACUUGCGGACGCAUGUUUGUGGGUGGAAAGUUUUUCGGCUUGGGAUGGGCUCGCGGCCUAUCAGCUUGUUGGUGGGGUGAUGGCCUACCAAGGCGACGACGGGUAGCCGGCCUGAGAGGGCGACCGGCCACACUGGGACUGAGACACGGCCCAGACUCCUACGGGAGGCAGCAGUGGGGAAUAUUGCACAAUGGGCGGAAGCCUGAUGCAGCGACGCCGCGUGAGGGAUGACGGCCUUCGGGUUGUAAACCUCUUUCAGCAGGGACGAAGCGCGAGUGACGGUACCUGCAGAAGAAGCGCCGGCCAACUACGUGCCAG
rnacentral:rRNA from 2 species